ACCCUGGCAGCUCAGUUGGUUAGAGCACUAUUCUGAUAUGCCAAAGUUGUGGGUUCAAUCCCCAACCAGGGCA
rnacentral:tRNA from 1 species